UUUUUUUUUUUUCAAGCAGAAGACGGCAUACGAGAUGCGCAUUAGUGACUGGAGUUCAGACGUGUGCUCUUCCGAUCUGUUUCCCAGUCACGAUACGUUAGAGAAUGGGAGUGAGACAGUGGGGGAUAAGCUUCAUUGUCGAAAGGGAAACAGCCCAGACCUCCAGCUAAGGUCCCUAAAGAUAGGCUCAGUGUAAAAGGAUGUGGGAGUGCACAAACAACCAGGAUGUUGGCUUAGAAGCAGCCACCAUUUAAAGAGUGCGUAACAGCUUACUGGUCGAGUGUUCCUGCGCCGAUAAUGUAUGGGGGCUCAAGCCUAUUACCGAAGCUGAGGAGCGCGAAAGCGCUGGUAGAGGAGCGUUGCGUAUGCAGUGAAGCGGCGGGCGGAAGUCCGCGUGGAGUGUACGCAAGUGAGAAUGUCGGGAUAAGUAGCGAGAAGACAAGUGAGAAUCUUGUCCGCCGAAAAUCUAAGGUUUCUUAAGGCAGGCUCGUCCUCUUGAGUUUAGCCGGUCCUAAGGCGAGGCCGCAUGGCGUAGUCGAUGGCUGUCAGGUUGAUAUUCCUGAGCCGGUGUGCAGCGAUGAGUGCGUGGGGACACUUCUCUGGUGUGUUGACUGCGGCGUUGGUUGUCCGCAACGGGGCUUGCCCCGGUAGUCAGCGAAGGAGGGGUCGAGAAAAGCCACGCAGGAGUUGCACGCCGACCGUACCGCAAACCGACACAGGUAGAUGGGUAGAGGAUACCUAGGCGCGCGAGAUAACUACCGUUAAGGAACUAGGCAAAAUAGCCCCGUAACUUCGGGAGAAGGGGCGCCGGCGCGAGCCGGUCGCAGCGAAGCGGUCCGAGCGACUGUUUAACAAAAACACAGGUCUCUGCUAAGCCGAAAGGCGACGUAUAGGGGCUGACGCCUGCCCAAUGCCAGAAGGUUAACAGGAGAGGUCGCAAGGCCUUGAAUCGAAGCCCUGGUGAAUGGCGGCCGUAACUAUAACGGUCCUAAGGUAGCGAAAUUCCUUGUCGGGUAAGUUCCGACCCGCACGAAUGGCGUAACGACUUGGACGCUGUCUCAACGGUAGACUCGGUGAAAUUGUAGCAUGCGUGAAGAUGCGCAUUCCCCGCCGCAGGACGGAAAGACCCCAUGGAGCUUUACUGCACCCUGUCAUUGCGUGUUGGGCAUGACUGUAGAGCGUAGGUGGGAGCUUCGGCGCCAAUGGAACACCACCCUGUCUAUCGUGACUGGGAAAC
rnacentral:rRNA from 1 species